rnacentral:rRNA from 1 species
GCUGACGACCGGCGAACGGGUGCGUAACGCGUAUGCAAUCUACCUUUUGCUAAGGGAUAGCCCAGAGAAAUUUGGAUUAAUACCUUAUAGUAUACUUACUUGGCAUCGAGAAAGUAUUAAAGAUUACGGCAAAAGAUGAGCAUGCGUUCUAUUAGCUAGUUGGUGUGGUAACGGCAUACCAAGGCAACGAUAGAUAGGGGUCCUGAGAGGGAGAUCCCCCACACUGGUACUGAGACACGGACCAGACUCCUACGGGAGGCAGCAGUGAGGAAUAUUGGACAAUGGAGGCAACUCUGAUCCAGCCAUGCCGCGUGCAGGAAGACUGCCCUAUGGGUUGUAAACUGCUUUUAUACAGGAAGAAACAUCUCUACGUGUAGAGGCUUGACGGUACUGUAAGAAUAAGGAUCGGCUAACUCCGUGCCAGCAGCCGCGGUAAUACGGAGGAUCCAAGCGUUAUCCGGAAUCAUUGGGUUUAAAGGGUCCGUAGGUGGAUAAUUAAGUCAGAGGUGAAAUCCUGCAGCUUAACUGUAGAAUUGCCUUUGAUACUGGUUGUCUUGAGUUGUUAUGAAGUAGUUAGAAUAUGUAGUGUAGCGGUGAAAUGCAUAGAUAUUACAUAGAAUACCAAUUGCGAAGGCAGAUUACUAAUAAUAUACUGACACUGAUGGACGAAAGCGUGGGGAGCGAACAGGAU